ACGAGAUGAGCCUGCGGCCCAUCAUGGUAGUUGGUAGGGUAACGGCCUACCAAGCCGAAGACGGGUAGCUGGUCUGAGAGGAUGAUCAGCCACACUGGAACUGAGACACGGUCCAGACUCCUACGGGAGGCAGCAGUGGGGAAUCUUGCGCAAUGGGCGAAAGCCUGACGCAGCGACGCCGCGUGAGUGAUGAAGGCCUUCGGGUUGUAAAGCUCUGUGGAGGGGGACGAAUAAGGGUUGGCUAACAUCCAGCUCGAUGACGGUACCCCUUUAGCAAGCACCGGCUAACUCUGUGCCAGCAGCCGCGGUAAGACAGAGGGUGCAAACGUUGUUCGGAAUUACUGGGCGUAAAGCGCGUGUAGGCUGCUCGGAAAGUCGGAUGUGAAAGCCCUGGGCUCAACCUAGGAAGUGCAUUCGAAACUUCCGAGCUGGAGUGCUGGAGAGGAAGGCGGAAUUCUCGGUGUAGAGGUGAAAUUCGUAGAUAUCGAGAGGAACACCGGUGGCGAAGGCGG
rnacentral:rRNA from 1 species